rnacentral:rRNA from 1 species
GACGAACCGUGCGAACGUUGUUCGGAAUCACUGGGCUUAAAGGGCGCGUAGGCGGGUUUGCAAGUCAGGGGUGAAAUCUUUCAGCUUAACUGGAAAACAGCCCCUGAUACUGCGAGUCUCGAGGGAGGUAGGGGCAUGUGGAACUUCCGGUGGAGCGGUGAAAUGCGUAGAUAUCGGAAGGAACGCCGGUGGCGAAAGCGACGUGCUGGACCUCUUCUGACGCUGAGGCGCGAAAGCUAGGGGAGCAAACGGG